AGGAAUGGCAGAGUGGUUUAUUGUACCAGACUGAUAAUCUGGCGUACAUGUAUGUGUACCGAGGGUUCGAAUCCCUCUUCCUCCG
rnacentral:tRNA from 1 species